GCACAAGCGGUGGAUGAUGUGGUAUUAAUUCGAUGCAACGCGAAAACCUUACCUACCCUUGACAUGUCCGGAAUCCUGCAGAGAUGCGGGAGUGCCCGAAAGGGAAUCGGAACACAGGUGCUGCAUGGCUGUCGUCAGCUCGUGUCGUGAGAUGUUGGGUUAAGUCCCGCAACGAGCGCAACCCUUAUCAUUAGUUGCUACGCAAGGGCACUCUAAUGAGACUGCCGGUGACAAACCGGAGGAAGGUGGGGAUGACGUCAAGUCCUCAUGGCCCUUACAUCCCGGGCUACACACGUGCUACAAUGGCAGGUACAGAGGGCUGCGAAGCCGCGAGGUGGAGCGAAUCCCAGAAAACCUGUCUCAGUCCGGAUUGAAGUCUGCAACUCGACUUCAUGAAGGCGGAAUCGCUAGUAACCGCGAAUCAGCAGGUCGCGGUGAAUACGUUCCCGGGCCUU
rnacentral:rRNA from 1 species